rnacentral:tRNA from 1 species
GGGUGAUUAGCUCAGUUGGCAGAGCAGCUGACUCUUAAUCAGCGGGUCGCAGGUUCGAAUCCUGCAUCACCCA